AUUGAACGCUGGCGGCAUGCUUUACACAUGCAAGUCGAACGGCAGCACGGGUGCUUGCACCUGGUGGCGAGUGGCGAACGGGUGAGUAAUGCAUCGGAACGUGCCUAUUAGUGGGGGAUAACGCUUCGAAAGGAGUGCUAAUACCGCAUAAUCUCUGAGGAGGAAAGCAGGGGACCUUCGGGCCUUGCGCUGAUAGAGCGGCCGAUGUCAGAUUAGGUAGUUGGUGGGGUAAAGGCUCACCAAGCCAACGAUCUGUAGCUGGUCUGAGAGGACGACCAGCCACACUGGAACUGAGACACGGUCCAGACUCCUACGGGAGGCAGCAGUGGGGAAUUUUGGACAAUGGGCGCAAGCCUGAUCCAGCCAUUCCGCGUGCAGGAUGAAGGCCUUCGGGUUGUAAACUGCUUUUGUACGGAACGAAACGGCGAGCUCUAAUACAGUUUGCUAAUGACGGUACCGUAAGAAUAAGCACCGGCUAACUACGUG
rnacentral:rRNA from 1 species